CAUCUUCUGACUUUUGACUUAAUUGGUCUUUGCUAUCUUAACAAGCAUGGAGAUACGAUUAGAAGUUUUGACUUCAACCAGUAUCAAGCAGAAAAAACCCUGGCCACGAGUAUCCUGGUUGGGACAGGAAAAUGAAGCUGUUUUUCUUUUGGAUGAUAAAUUCGUAAAUGAAAUUAAUUUGCUCUCAGGAAGGACAAAGAAGAAAAUUCCCAGUCUUCAGCCUUUGUUGAAGGAUGUUAUACUCCUAACAACGUCCAGUAAUGAUGCCUGGCUGGCUGGGGUACUCACUACAGGGGAGGUUUUCCUCUGGAACAAAGAUCAAGAUUGUUUGAAAACUAUACAAGCAACUGAAAAGCCUAAGGAAAUGAUUGAAGCUGCAGUAGCAAGCUCUUCGAGACUGUACUUGUAUGUAUCUGGCAAUGGGAAAAGAGUUCUGCUUAUAACUCCUUCUGGAUGCAUAUUCCUUUGGGAACAUUUGGAAUUCAAGAAUGUUUCAUCUUCCAAAAGCCUUUCCUUGGUGGGCCAGUGGUCCCAGAUCAUGCCUGAAGAAGCAGUUCCUUUGCCUUCCACUGAAGAUAAAGAAGCGGUAGUGCAUGCUGUUUUUAUAAAAAAUGAGUUAUUUGGAGACUGCUGCUUGUGUUCAUUUACUUUCUAUUCCGGGGAAUGCCUGAAGUUAACAUUUCUAGCAAUUCGGUGGCAUGAAAAUGUAUUUACACCUGUAAGAUCACUGCCAUAUCAUGUUCAGUGGGCUCAGCAGGAUUGCCUUCUGUGCAGUCUGAUCCCUAAAUGUGAGUCAGUGAAGUCAAGGGGAGCUCUGAUUUCUGCAUUUUCAAGGGAUGGACUUACCCUGGCAGUAACGCUUAAUCAGAAAGACCCAAAGGCAACUCAGGUAUUAUUUAUAAAUACACUGAAUUUUGUUACUCUCUAUGGUAGCCUUAAAGGAUGUAGUAAUAAGAAUCCUGUGGUUCCAGCUACUCUUGUCAGGUCAUACUGGGUAGGUGACGUCAGCUGGACUCACGAUAGUCUUUUCCUGGCUUGUGUGUUAAAACGUGGCUCCCUGGUUUUAUUGACCUGCCACGGUGAAUUGCUAACGUUAAUUACAUUUGGUUGCUCUAUAGAAUUUGGGCCAGCAGAAUUUAUUCCUCUUCACCCGCUAAUAACAUAUAGACCACAGCAGUUUACACUUCAAGAUUCAAAUAAUUCUGUAGAUUCAUCAGCUUCAGAUAGUGACCCUAUGAGACAGAGAUUUUCUAUAAAAGCACACUCACGAUUACCGUACCUCAUUAUUUCUGAUGGAUACAUGGUCACAACCCUUCGAUUUCUUGAUAAUCUGUCUCCAUCAGUGCUCAUGAGAUCCCUUCUACUUGAUUCAACGCAGAGGCUUGAGAAAACAUACGAAAGUGUGAUACUGUGUAAGCCAAAAGGCAAAGGUCUGAACUUGCGAUCACUGAAUUCCCUAAGAUCUAGCUUGUUAAAGCACCAAAGAGAUGAAAAUGUAGCUGAUUCUACUGUUCCCAAAUUCUUGCAAGCAGAAGAAACACUGAAGUUAAAUGAAGAAACAGCGGAUUUGCAGGAUUUUGAAGCAGAAGAAACUGAUGAUGGCAUAUGUUUUCCAAACAACUUAUUCUCUUUUUGGAACCAAAAAAAUGAUCUGUUAUUUAGUAGUGUUGAGGAGGGACGAUUGGAAUUUGCUUCUAUGUUUGAUACAAUUCAUGCAAAAGAUAAUACUGAGGAGACAGAUAAAACUGUUACAGAACUGCACUCUGUCCAGAAAAAUCUCCUUGCAGCAUGGACUAUAGGGAUUUCAAAAAAUGUGACAGAAAAAAAUUUAAUGUUAAAUUACACAGUAGUUUGUAUCACUCAUUUUUUGUAUAUUCUUCAGUUUAUAAAAUGUCCUUUUCCCAAACUAGAUCUUUUUUUAAGCAAGAGCUCAAAAUAUAAUACAUGGGUGCUUUGUAUCUUUCAACUUUUUCAUCAGUGUUUAUCAAUCCAGUAUUGGGAUAUGAGAUACAAGCAAGAUGUAGGACAUUUGGUGAAGCUGACCUCAAAUACUAUAAAGCUUUUGCUAACACAGCAACAACAGGAUCUGUUAUUCUCAGAGAAGCUUUUAGCCUGUUUUCAUUUACUCAGAAUGGUGGCUGAUCAUUUAAAUGGCGUGUACAGUCUUCAGCCUGAAGUUAUCUCAGCAUCAGCUGAGGGAAGUAGAAGAGCAAAGCAAGACUCAUUGGUGUUACCCAUUUUUCAAAUGUUUCAAGACAGUGGAUCUUGGGAAAACUGGUCUUGGAACUCAUCUUUCGAGAUUCAUCCUCAAGUAUUACAUUUUGUGCAACAGCCAGGACACAGAUUGAGUGUUCUCUGGAAAAUAUUGUACAGAAAGACUUUAUGGUAUCAGAUGCAAUUAAGUCAGAGAGUUCCUGAAGAUGGCAUGCAGUUAGCUGAAAAGAUGACACAUGAAGCAUCUGCUGUCAAGUCCCUGUUAUGCCAUAUACAGGCUGAAUUGCAGACUGCUGGAGUUCGCUUGAACCAGACCUUAGAACUUAAAUCUAUCAAUGGGGAAGAGUGUUUCCUAUUAGGAUCAUAUGAAAAAUCUGUUCAAAUAUGGAGGAAAGCUCUACAAGAAACCUGCGAGAAAGGAGGAAGAAGGACAUGUUUUCUUCAGCUUCGCUAUUAUCUUUCUCUUUUAUACUGCCACCUCUAUAACUAUAAUUUAAAUGAUGCUCAAGGAUUAUGUGAUCAGCUAGUAAGAGAAAUACUGAGAUGGUCCCACCUUCCUGUAAAAGAAAAUGAAGAUUGUUCAGUUCCUGAGAAGUCUCCUUGUGAGUCUGGGGUGACUGGAAGUGUUCAUCCUGAAGCGGCGGUGAGGGUGGUGCAGUCCAUGGCUCGCUUCAUGGCCGCCUACUUCACCAACCAGCGGCUGUGCAUUUUGCCACCUCACAGUGUGGAUGUUCUUCCUCCCCUUCAUAUUAAAACAGAGCAGCCCUUUCGACUUAUUCCUCUGCAACACUCUAAGGUGGCCAGUGCGGUCAGAGAGCAGAAUCUUUCUGAUGUGUGGACCGCUGAAUAUGCCCUUGAAUUAUUAUUGAUCGGUGGCCUGGUUCCAGAAGCCGUGUGGUUGGCACAUAAACUUGGAGACUGGAAGACAUCUAUUUCUGUCGGUGUGGCUUUUCAACUCUUCUGUAAGCGUGAUAGCAAAUUCACGAGAUCCAAGGAAAAGAGUCUGAAUCUACCAUUAAAUAUGACUCCAGCACAGAUUUUUCAGGAAAAACUACAGUGUUUCCUAGGUCAGCCAGCCUCUUUGGAAGCAAAAAAUGAAAUGAGCUCAAAAUGCAAACAGUUUACAGAUCCCAUUGAAGAAGAAGAUGCGGAUCUGCUGUUUGCUUCUGUGCAGGAAAUACUGAAAGCAGCAGUUAUGGCUGACGCGGAUAUUCUUUCAGAGACUUUUCAGCUUCUGAUCGACUCUGCCAAGGACUUCAGUAAGAGACUGUGGGGCUUAGUGCCCGUCGGCUUGUAUCUUCCAGCUCCUCCGUUAUAUUGUCCUCAGCCAGCUGUUCUUAGUGAAGAAGAUGGUGAUGAUCUUCUUUUAAAAGCUGAAAAAGAUAAUCGCCAAAAGGUGUCUGGAAUCCUUCAGCGUGUUCUCUUGCUUUUCCGGGCAGCUCGGUGUUCUUUUCCUGUAGCACAGUGGUACAUCUUGCAGUUGAGAUGGGCAAGAAAAGUCAUGCAAAAGAUUCGCAUGAAAGGGUCCCUUCCUUCAUUGAGUCCUUUCCCUGAGUCGUUACUUAAUUACUGUAAAGGAGGUGUAGCAUUCUUUCGACCUGGAGCGGCUGGAGACCGGAAGCUAGAUGAAGCGUCCAUUAAAGCAAUAGGUUGCUUCAGAGAACUUUGUGCUUUGUGUUGGAUGCUGCAUGUCCGUGAUAAGUUAUCCUAUAGUUGUAGGCAGUAUCAGAAGGCAAGAGAAAAUGUGGAGGAAAAAAAGGGCCUUGAGGCAAAGUUUGGCCCCUGUCUAGUUGAGCACUGUCUGAGUGCGGUGGAAUGGGCUUACAGAAUGUUGCCCUUCUCUCGGUUUUCUAAUAUUGAAGAGCUUAUUCAGGAUCUGAUUUUGAGCCUCAUUGCAGAACUGCCACCAAUCAGAAAGGUAGCAGAAAUUUUUGUGAAGGCAUUUCCCAAUCCUGAGGACAUAAGAGUUUCUUUAAGAGAAAAAUAUCACUCUCUUCAGCAGAGACUCAGACACUGUGUUGUGAAAGGUCCCCAAACAGAAGAGAUGAUGUCUGUUAUCAUGCAUUCUAUCCAUAAAGUGAGGGUGAAAGCCCUAAAGCGUGUGCAGAGAAAUAUAGGUUCUUUCGAAAUGAAUAUAUGGGAGCCAAUUGAAGAAGAAAAGCCAGCCGAGGUUGCAGGUUUUGACAGGUUUUCCUUGGGAACUAGUCUGAGCAGGAGCACACUCACAGAACUGGGCAGUUCUCUGGCUCACAGUGAUGCAGAUAUGGCCGAUACCCUCUCAGAAGCUUUGUCAGCUGAAGAAAAAAGCAGAACACAUUUCUGUCAAAGAAGUGCCCCAAAUCACAUGGAAUUAACAUUGACUGGUAAGCCCGAAGGUAAAAAGAAAAUAUAUAAUCAAAAGGAAAACCCUAAAAGAAAAGAAGAUUGCGAAAAGUUAUUACAAAAUGCACUUCCUGUAAUAGGUGUUUGGGAAUUUGAACGUGACGAUGACGAAUAUAUUAAAUUCCUUGAACUCUUCUUGAGUUAUGUUCUUGAAAGAGACCUACUUGGUUCCAAGGAUGCUGGCAUUCCAUUUCUAACUAGUUUUUCUGGACAUCUUAGAGAACAUGAACUUAAUUCUUUCCUCUUUGAUGUACAUACAACAUUAAAACGACGUCACAGCAAAACCAGAAGCCAGAAUGUGUUCAGAGCCGGCUCCUGCUUUGUUGUUGCUCCUGAGUCAUAUGAGUGUGAAAAAUCAGAAAACCAGACACUUUCAGCUUCCGUACUAGCUAAUCAAGGGAUCAGGCGUUUUUCCGAGAACCCUUUGAAUGAAGUCAAUAAAAAUGAAGGGAAGAGUGGGUUGUUCGGUUUAAAACAGAAGUCAGUUUAUAGAGUACAAGAUGACAGUGCAGAGAAAACUUUAAUACAGAGAUUGUCAAACCAUAGUGUUUGCAUUCCCAAAUCCACUGAAACUAGAAGAUGUAUUUUCAAAGCCAUUCAAUGUAAUGAUAUUAACCCUCAAGAAGAUCUUCCUGUAGCACUAAAUAACAUGUGUGGCAAUACAAGAAGGCUAUUGGAAUGGAUGAUAAGAUGGUCUGAUAAAAGACUGCUCUGUGACUCUGGACUCACCGAGCCAUCCUGUGAGUACAGUCCUGUCAUUCGUGUGAAGACCUCAACAGCCGCCAUUCUUACAUCAUUGUGGCUUUUGGAACAACCCUAUUUUGCUACAUAUAAGGCAAAAAAUGCCGUCAUUAAGGUGCUAGAGAAUAAUUCCCCUGAGCCUCAGAAUGGACCCAGUAUAGAGAAUGAUUAUAGAACAGAUGCUGGCUGUUCUGUUGCAGUAUCCGCUCAAGGUGGGACUGAGGAAAUAAAUGAUCAAAAUGAAUCCUGUCAAAGUAUCUUGAAUAGAAUGCCAACAGAAGGAAAAAAUCCUGAAAUAAAGGGAACCAAAGAUGAGAUUAUUUCUGUCACUGAUAUUACUGAAAAAGAAGUUGUAAAUAUCGAUGAGGAUCUUUCAGAAGUAGAAGCAUUUACACAGGAGGAAAUGGAUGUAUACCCAACAGACCAUGAAGAGGAUGCCAAAGAGUUUGCCAAAGAACCUGUUGAAAGUCCUAAUAUUGCCGUUUACACGCAGAUGCAAACCUUACCACAGCAUUUAGAAAAGCAUUCCACAGGAGAGGUUCAGUGUCCAAGGGAAGAACCAUUGGAGACGUGUAUGGAGGAGGAAUCAACUGAACAGAAAGGUAUGAUCGAAGCCUCUGCAGAUCUUGAACAUAUCAUUCCUCAUUCAUUUUGUGUAGAUACAAAUUCAGAAGUUUCUAGUACUCCAGUCUCUGCAUGUAAAGAUAAAUCUUCCUCAGCUCCACCUUUGGCAUCAAAUGGAGUCACAGUGGCUUCACAAACACCUGGACCAACAGCUCAGCCAACCCAGAGAAAUGAACCCAGCGCUCAGUUAUCGCAGUCUUCCAAUUCUGUUAGGCAAAUGCUCCAAGAUGAAAUGUUUAAAUUAGUUCAGCUGCAACAGAUCAACUUCAUGAGCCUAAUGCAAAUAGUAGGAUCAUCCUUCGCAAACCUCCCAGAUAUUCAUCAACUUCUCCAACAGUCUCAGUCUGUGCAUUUGGUGGGAAGCCAAGGAUCAAACCCCACGAGAGGGAGUAAUGAUGUUGGAGACACCAGUAGAAAUCUGAAGGAGAGAUUUUUCAUUAAACCACAACCCAUGGGAGAGUAUGCCAGAGAGCCUGGCAAGAAGAGCCCACACUGCCAUGAAGAAAUUGUGCAAUCCAAUGAAAAUAGUAAUGGAAACUUAGAGAAUGUUCCACAUGGGAGUGUUCCUUUUUGUCAAUCAGAAGGUCAGCCCCAGAAUAGAGGACUAACUCCAGCAUCUCACAGCUUACCAGCCGCUUCUUUGUCUCCAGUCCCUGCUGGAAACAGUCACCUCCACCUUUUGUCUGCAUCUUCUGCCGUUCCAAAGACACCUAGACUUAUCCCCACUGGAAAUACUUCCCGACCUGGUGAUGGUUUCCCUUUGCUUCAGUUUCAGCCCAAGCCUGAGUUUCAGCCCAUUUCCUUUCAGACAGAAAGAGUUCCUCAGCUUCCCUUCAGUCCUCUGCCAAAGCCUAGAGAGGCUUGGGGAUUAUCUGAUUUCUCACAGCCUCCUUUGCCAAAGACAGCAAUGGCCACUACUUCAGUGUCCCAUUUGAAUCUGAGCCAGUAUAAUACUGAAGCCAUAAAAAAAGCAGCUGAGCCGAAAAAAUGGGCAGAAACAAUAAUUAAAGAAAUCCCAAAGCAUGUGAACUUGGAUCCGUGUGUUGGACAAGAAAACUUGACACCUCAACAGGACUCUAAAACAUUUAUGCAACCAGAAAAAAUGUUUGAUGUUAAACCAGGACCCUUUGAGAUAUCUUCUCAGAAUUCCUCUGGACUUCCUUUAUUGUACCUGCAACUUAAACCUCCUUACAUGUUUUCUUCUACCUCAAGAGCAUCCAUUACAGUUCCAUCCAUACCUAUUAGAACUAUGGCAGAAGAAAGAAAAUGCCCAAGAUUAUCACUACUUCAUUCAUGUCUAGGCCCAGAAAAUAUGUACCAAAAACCACAACUUAUUCCACUUGAAAACCUCAUUGCAUUUAAACAAAAGCAACAGAACUGGACACAUAAUUUCUUUGAACAAGGUGAUCCUGGACAUCUCCAGCUUCUAAAGGUCAAAAUAGAAUCAUCUGAAUUGAGACAAGGGAAGGACAGUAAAAAAAGACAAAGACGACGAGCUGAAAGAGAACUGCAGGAAGAAAGAUCAGAGAAACUAAGGAGAAAGCCAAGUGUGACUUUCCAGCCGGAGGACAUCAUCAUUAAUGGCAACGAUUCAGAAGUAGCUGUGAAGCCCCAGGAGCAACAAGAACAUCCUGGCUCCCAGCCUUUGGAAGACUUUGACAUCCCUUUUGAAAAGCUCCAAGAUGAUGUUAAUACUUCUGCUGGACUGCAUUUCAUGGCCUCUGUGAAAAAGAAAGCUAAAGAAUGUCAGGAUGCAAGUACAAAUACAGACCCAGAACAUGAAACUUUGAAUGUUCCUCAACUUUUGGCUCCAGAUAUAUGUCUAAAUCUCAGACUUCCCACUGAAACAUCAGAGAAACCUCUGUCACCUUCAGCAUCUGAUACGGUACUAAAUUUGGAAUUACCUGUCAAGGAAGAGCCUUCAGAUAAUAUCAAGCAACACAGUGAUUGUCUAGAAGUCCCAUCUUCUGCAGAAUUACAUUACAUGGCAGCUUCAGUUACUAAUGCUAUUCCCCCGACUCUUGACAAUCUGAAGAGUAAAGAUACUCCGAAGCCAGAUUUUCGCUUCAAGGAACUGAGCUCAAAGUCAGAUGCUACAGAAGACUAUCUUCUGUGGGAGGUGCUACAGGAAGUCCCCACCGCUCACCGUGCGCCAAGCCCUGCAGCUCGCCGGCUGGAGCAUCUCACGGCAAAACUUCAGAAAAUUGAUGAACAGCUCUUAGCAAUACAGAACCUCGCUGAAAACAUAGAGCACAAUUACCCCAGACACACAGUGCUAGACCGACACUGUAUGAAGGUUGAACCUGUGGGUCCCAUUGAACUGUCUUCUGGCCCUGAAUCUGAAAAAACAUUCCCUUCAAAAACCAUUAGCAUUUCUGAAGAAGUGCACUUCCUGACUUAUAUGAAUGAAGAAGAUCGGAGAGACAAAGAAGAGAUUUCAGUAACAGAAAUUUACCCUAGUCAGAAAACCUGUGUGCUUCCUUCAGCUCAUUCAGCUGUCAGUCUUUCCAGUGACCAGAAUGUGACUUCCCUUGGUGUGAAUAACAGUGAUGAAUUAUUUGAAAGUGUUUUGGUAGAUCCACUCCAGAUGAGUGAACUGACUGAUAUUGCGGACAUUAUCAAUGACCUCAUAACGAAAGAUGGAGUUUCCAGUGAAGAGCUCGGCCUAACAGAGCAACAGGCUAGGAGCAUCUCCAGGAUUCAGCAUCCCUCUGGUAGACGCCCACAAAGAACUGAGAAGGAGAGAAGAGAGAUUCAAGUCUGGAUGAAAAGAAAACGAAAAGCAAGAAUGGCAGAGUACUUAAAUCAGCUGGCAGAGAAGAGAGGGCAAGAACACGAUCCUUUCUGCCCCAGGAAUAACCCAUUAUACAUGACUUCAAGGGAAAUCAGGCUGAGACAAAAGAUGAAGCAUGAGAAAGACAGAUUGCUACUCUCAGACCACUAUAGUCGUCGAAUCUCACAAGCAUACACUCUGAUGAAUGAACUGUUAUCUGAAUCAGCACAGCUUCCAGCAGCUGCUCAGAAACCAUUGCCUAACAAACCCAGAAAAGCUCAGAUUCCCAGAAGGCAACGCUCCCCUUCUCCAAGAGGAGAGAAUCGACAUGGUCACAAUUUUCCAAUAUACAGACCUGGAAAAGUCAGACAUACAUCCACCAAACCAAGUUAUACCCAAAAGGGGAGACCUUUUGGGCAAUCUCAAGGCUCACCUUGGCCGCGUGAAACUGCUACUUUUACCGUACAGAGAAAAGCUGGUGCAGCCAAAAUGGCAGUUAGAAAGGUUGUACAAUCUCCAGUUAUCAUCCGAAAAGGCCCCAAUGCUCCCUGUCGGGAGUGUAUAAAAAGUCACAGAAGCUCUGGGCUUGCUCCUCAAACCAAGGAGGUGUGUAUAGAGUAUGAGAGAGAAGAGACUGUGGUGAGCCCGUGGUUGGUACCUUCAGACAUCCGUGCGAUUCUCCACGAGAGUCACAGUUCCCUGCUACAGGACUCCUCACCAACUGAAGAAAAGUCAGAGGCUCCUUUGGGGGUAGGUGGCAUGGAGAGCUUGUCUGAGAGCACAGGCAGCAUCCUCAGCAAGCUUGACUGGGAUGCUGUGGAAGACAUGGUGGCCGGCGUGGAGGACAGGAGCCUCUCUGUCCACUGGGCCCUGGACCUGUAAGACCUGAGCAUCACUCUGCUUCCACAUGAAGGCCCACAGCUCAGCAAUAACGUUCAG
rnacentral:lncRNA from 1 species